AGCGAACGCUGGCGGCAGGCCUAACACAUGCAAGUCGAGCGCCGUAGCAAUACGGAGCGGCAGACGGGAGAGUAACACGUGGGAACGUGCCCUUUGGUUCGGAAUAACUCAGGGAAACUUGAGCUAAUACCGGAUAAGCCCUUACGGGGAAAGAUUUAUUGCCAUUGGAGCGGCCCGCGUCGGAUUAGCUAGUUGGUGAGGUAAUGGCUCACCAAGGCGACGAUCCGUAGCUGGUCUGAGAGGAUGACCAGCCUCACUGGGACUGAGACACGGCCCAGACUCCUACGGGAGGCAGCAGUGGGGAAUAUUGGACAAUGGGCGCAAGCCUGAUCCAGCCAUGCCGCGUGGAUGAUGAAGGCCCUAGGGUUGUAAAGUCCUUUUAACGGGGAAGAUAAUGACGGUACCCGUAGAAUAAGCCCCGGCUAACUUCGUGCCAGCCGCCGCCGUAAAAC
rnacentral:rRNA from 1 species